GCAUAGGGAGCACUCGUAUCUUCUUCGAAGAGACCGGAGAAAAGGUAGGCCUCAGGGUUGGGGUUUUUGUGUGUUAUUCCAGGCAUUGCCAGUUGGGGGAAUAUGAAAGCAGGGAGGGUCCAAUGGAUCAAUCGACUCCGGGCAGUUGAUGUGAGAGGGAGCACAUUGCAAAGCCGACUGGACACUGCAAUGCACAAAGAAAGGCCGUUUCCGUUGAUUUGUUUGAGGAGAGGAGGAUGUAUCUUGAAAAUGACAUUCUUCUCCAUGGUGCAAUGAGCACAGAAUAUGAUGAAAUGAUGUAUACCUAAUACUACAUACCUAGCUUCUUGCCGGCGAGCAACAACUUGCCCAGGUUGCAAGCAUUUAGGACGUAACAACUGAC
rnacentral:sRNA from 2 species